rnacentral:rRNA from 1 species
CUUCCAGGAAAAGCCUCUAAGCUUCAGAUAGUCAGGAAUCGUACCCCAAACCGACACAGGUGGUCGGGUAGAGAAUACCAAGGCGCUUGAGAGAACUCGGGUGAAGGAACUAGGCAAAAUGGUACCGUAACUUCGGGAGAAGGUACGCUCUUGAUGGUGAAGUCCCUCGCGGAUGGAGCUGACGAGAGUCGCAGAUACCAGGUGGCUGCAACUGUUUAUUAAAAACACAGCACUGUGCAAAAUCGCAAGAUGACGUAUACGGUGUGACGCCUGCCCGGUGCCGGAAGGUUAAUUGAUGGGGUUAGCGCAAGCGAAGCUCUUGAUCGAAGCCCCGGUAAACGGCGGCCGUAACUAUAACGGUCCUAAGGUAGCGAAAUUCCUUGUCGGGUAAGUUCCGACCUGCACGAAUGGCGUAAUGAUGGCCACGCUGUCUCCACCCGAGACUCAGUGAAAUUGAAAUCGCUGUGAAGAUGCAGUGUACCCGCGGCUAGACGGAAAGACCCCGUGAACCUUUACUACAGCUUGGCACUGAACAUUGAACCUACAUGUGUAGGAUAGGUGGGAGGCUAUGAAGACGUGACGCCAGUUGCGUUGGAGCCGUCCUUGAAAUACCACCCUUGUAUGUUUGAUGUUCUAACUUAGACCCGUUAUCCGGGUUGAGGACAGUGCCUGGUGGGUAGUUUGACUGGGGCGGUCUCCUCCCAAAGAGUAACGGAGGAGCACGAAGGUGGGCUAAUCACGGUUGGACAUCGUGAGGUUAGUGCAAUGGCAUAAGCCCGCUUAACUGCGAGAAUGACGGUUCGAGCAGGUGCGAAAGCAGGUCAUAGUGAUCCGGUGGUUCUGUAUGGAAGGGCCAUCGCUCAACGGAUAAAAGGUACUCCGGGGAUAACAGGCUGAUACCGCCCAAGAGUUCAUAUCGACGGCGGUGUUUGGCACCUCGAUGUCGGCUCAUCACAUCCUGGGGCUGAAGUCGGUCCCAAGGGUAUGGCUGUUCGCCAUUUAAAGUGGUACGCGAGCUGGGUUUAGAACGUCGUGAGACAGUUCGGUCCCUAUCUGCCGU